rnacentral:lncRNA from 1 species
UGCCCCCAGCUCUGCCACCCCCUCAAGCUCCUACACCGGCUCCCUUCCCUUCAGGACUCGACUUCCACAAGAGUCACACACGCGUGUCCACUUCCUCUUCACCCACGUGCCUGUGAGAGCCUCCUCGCACACACGCCUGCAAUCCCGAGCAGCGGGUCCGCCUGCAGCGCUCUAACGACACGAGCCUUCCACCAGCGAGGACCUGAAGCAGAAAGCAAGUGCCUGUUCCCUGCACUGGUCCUCCUCUGCACCUCGCUCUCUGAAGCGCACACUCUCCUCCUCGAAACUCCACCUUCCAGCGGGUUCGGCGUCAGGGGAAGCUUCUGGCUCUGCCUCUCUGUCCUCGCUGAUUUCUCCUCUAGUUUCUAGGAGUGGGCUAGGCAGGGACAGCCGCAAGAUACCCUAAACCUUCAGGAUGUCCUAACUUGGCAAAUGCCGGAACACCUGCAGAGGUUCGGAGCUUCCUCCUGAGUCGUGUUGGAGGCAGGGGCCCGUCUCCUGUGUUUCAGUCACUGCCACCAGGUAAGCGCUUCGAUAACUUUUGCUAAAGCGUAACUCUCACUUGAUGACCAUUUUCUACAAAGAAGUAAAUCACCUAAAUGAGAAUUACCGCCUCUACCACGAUGAGGAAGAAAAACUCAGGAUGCCGGGCAACUUGGUAGAUUCACGCCGAGCCAGGGGGCUCACUCCCGCAGCAGCCGGCCCGGUCACGCCUCGAAAGAUCUGCGAGCGCCAUGCCGUUAACUCUCAGCCUCUUCAAAACAUACAGACUCCAAGCGCCGCACCAGACACGCGAACGUCAGGGCAUCCUCCCGCUCCAGCAGCGCAGGCUCUCCGCGGCCUUCUCUUUCACCUCGAGGAUGCGACCGUCACUCCCAGGUGGACGGGGCUUCCUCUGGCACCCUGGGCUCUGUCCUCCGAUCCCGACACCAUCACGCCCACACUCUGUCGGGUGCCUCAGACUCAUAUGCCUGACACUAAUCAAUCGUCCCCAGCCCCACCUCCUCCUGCGGUUCUGAGUUGAGUCAAGGACGUGACGGGAACCUCCAAGGUACCAGAACCUAACCUUCAGGAUGAUGCUGUCCUCUGCCCUCCGGCCUGCUCCGAAGCUCCAGGCUCCCUGAGCUCAGGCCAGGCAGUGUGUUCAGUUGGCUGCCCCUGUGGCCUGCAUGUGUUCCUGUACACACACGGCAGGGGCUGGAGCGUGUCUGUGAGUGCGUGAGCUCCCCGUACACACACAGCAGGUGCUGGAGCGUGUCUGUGAGCACGUGAGCACCCUGUACACAUAUGGCACGUGCCAGAGUGCGCCUGUGAGCAUGUGAGCGCCCUGUACACACACGGCAGGUGCUGGAGUGCGUCUGUGAGGGUGUGAGCGCCCUAUACACAUACGACAGGCGCUUGAACAUGUCUGAGCACCCCGUACACACACAGCAGGUGCCAGAGCACGUCUGUGAGCACGUGAGCACCCUGCACACACAUGGCAGGUGCUGGAGUGUGUCUGUGAGCGCGUGAGCACCCUGUACACACAUGGCACGUGCCAGAGUGCGCCUGUGAGCAUGUGAGCGCCCUGUACACACACGGCAGGUGCCGGAGCAUGUCUGUGAGCACGUGAGUGCCCUGUACACACACGGCAGGUGCUGGAGCGUGUCUGUGAGCGCAUGAGUGCCCUGUACACACAUGGCAGGUGCCGGAGCAUGUCUGUGAGCACGUGAAUCCCCUGGACACACAUGGCAGAUGCCGGAGCAUGUCUGUGAGCGCCCCGGACACACACAGCAGGUGCUGGAGAUUGUCUGUGAGGGUGUGAGCGCCCUGUACACACACAGCAGGUGCUGGAGUGCGUCUGUGAGUGUGCGAGCACCCUGUACACACACGGCAGGUGCUGGAGAGUGUCUGUGAGCGCAUGCGUGGCCCGUACACACACGGCAGGUGCCAGAGCACGUCUGUGAGCACGUGAGUGGCCUGUACACACACGGCAGAUGCCGGAGCACGUCUGUGAGCGCCCCGUACACACACAGCAGGUGCUGGAGUAUGUCUGUGAACGCGUGAGUGCCGGUACCCGUGGUGAAGGGACACCC